rnacentral:rRNA from 1 species
AUUGAACGCUGGCGGCAGGCCUAACACAUGCAAGUCCAACGGUAACAGGAAACAGCUUGCUGUUUCGCUGACGAGUGGCGGACGGGUGAGUAAUGUCUGGGAAACUGCCUGAUGGAGGGGGAUAACUACUGGAAACGGUAGCUAAUACCGCAUAACGUCGCAAGACCAAAGAGGGGGACCUUCGGGCCUCUUGCCAUCGGAUGUGCCCAGAUGGGAUUAGCUAGUAGGUGGGGUAACGGCUCACCUAGGCGACGAUCCCUAGCUGGUCUGAGAGGAUGACCAGCCACACUGGAACUGAGACACGGUCCAGACUCCUACGGGAGGCAGCAGUGGGGAAUAUUGCACAAUGGGCGCAAGCCUGAUGCAGCCAUGCCGCGUGUAUGAAGAAGGCCUUCGGGUUGUAAAGUACUUUCAGCGGGGAGGAAGGGAGUAAAGUUAAUACCUUUACUCAUUGACGUUACCCGCAGAAGAAGCACCGGCUAACUCCGUGCCAGCAGCCGCGGUAAUACGGAGGGUGCAAGCGUUAAUCGGAAUUACUGGGCGUAAAGCGCACGCAGGCGGUUUGUUAAGUCAGAUGUGAAAUCCCCGGGCUCAACCUGGGAACUGCAUCUGAUACCUGGCAGCUUGAGUCUCGUAGAGGGGGGUAGAAUUCCAGGUGUAGCGGUGAAAUGCGUAGAGAUCUGGAGGAAUACCGGUGGCGAAGGCGGCCCCCUGGACGAAGACUGACGCUCAGGUGCGAAAGCGUGGGAAGCAAACAGGAUUAGAUACCCUGGUAGUCCACGCCGUAAACGAUGUCGACUUGGAGGUUGUGCCCUUGAGGCGUGGCUUCCGGAGCUAACGCGUUAAGUCGACCGCCUGGGGAGUACGGCCGCAAGGUUAAAACUCAAAUGAAUUGACGGGGGCCCGCACAAGCGGUGGAGCAUGUGGUUUAAUUCGAUGCAACGCGAAGAACCUUACCUGGUCUUGACAUCCACAGAACUUUCCAGAGAUGGAUUGGUGCCUUCGGGAACUGUGAGACAGGUGCUGCAUGGCUGUCGUCAGCUCGUGUUGUGAAAUGUUGGGUUAAGUCCCGCAACGAGCGCAACCCUUAUCCUUUGUUGCCAGCGGUCCGGCCGGGAACUCAAAGGAGACUGCCAGUGAUAAACUGGAGGAAGGUGGGGAUGACGUCAAGUCAUCAUGGCCCUUACGACCAGGGCUACACACGUGCUACAAUGGCGCAUACAAAGAGAAGCGACCUCGCGAGAGCAAGCGGACCUCAUAAAGUGCGUCGUAGUCCGGAUUGGAGUCUGCAACUCGACUCCAUGAAGUCGGAAUCGCUAGUAAUCGUGGAUCAGAAUGCCACGGUGAAUACGUUCCCGGGCCUUGUACACACCGCCCGUCACACCAUGGGAGUGGGUUGCAAAAGAAGUAGGUAGCUUAACCUUCGGGAGGGCGCUUACCACUUUGUGAUU